AUAAAAAUUGAUGAGAACGGGGUUAGCUGAUGAAAGGGGAUAAAGGCCUCGUUCAAUUUAUCUUGUCAGCAAUUGUGAAAGGUGAGAACCAAAAGUUUCAGCCAUGGGUUCAGGCAGCAGCUUUGGUUGAAAUGGAGAUUCUUACCAAGAAGGAACACUAUUCAAGUUGAGAGAUUAUGGACUCCCAACAUGAUUUAUUUGUAAGCUAGGAGAAUUGUGUAUCCGUUUCUGUCUACUAUGUGGGACAACACCAAUGACCUGUUUCGAGAACAGCCCAUGUCAGAUUUUAGUUGCAAGUAUUCAAACCCAAAACUUGUGCAAAUUGUCAUGUUUUAGAAAGCAUGGGUAGUACCAGAAAAAAAGAGGAUUAAAAAGUAGUGUUCUUGAGAGAGAGAGAGAGAGAAUUUGGUGAUUUCUUACUUUGCAAGGUGAAGGAGACCUUACUAUCUCAUUUGGUAUUCUUCAUAACAGCAAUCAUCCCUUGGUUCUUCCAAUCUGAGCUACUGGUUUUCUUGUUGACUCAUUUGUCUGAUUUGUGGAAGCAGAUUAAGAAUUUGGCUUAAAACACCACCUUUGGUUGUGGAAAAAAGCUGAUUUUCUCCCACAAUUUAGUUGUCUUUUUGUGUUCCAUAGUUUAUUCUAUCUCGUAGUUGCUAGUCCAUUUUGGUAUAGACUUGCAUGUAUUCAACAUUAAUUUUAUUCAGUGUCAUUUAGAAACCAUGGAAAGGAGCAGCAACCAGAAGAGUAGUAUUAUGGGAUUCCUUAGAGAGAAAGGGUUCGUCGAUGGAAGCAUGCAGAAAAUGUUCAAAAGAUGCAAGCGGCUAGAGUUCCUUGAUGGAGAGAGAGCCUGUGAGAACUGGAAUUACUUGAACAGUAUUGGAAUUCAAGAGAGGAAACUUACCUGUGUUGUUUCCAAGUGCCCCAGGAUCCUCACUCUGGGCUUGAAUGAGAAGCUUGUACCUACAGUCCAAUGCCUCACAGCCUUGGGAACAAAACCUGGUGGAGUGGUUCUGGCCAGCCAAAGUUUCCCACAUACUUGCCCACAGUGUAGAAGAGAAGCUCUGCUCGCUACUAGCCUUCUUCCAAGCAAUGGGAGUCUCUGAAAAGCAACUGGGCUUAGGACUUAAAUAAAGAAGGUGUGAUUGGUAAAAUUUUGGCAAAGAACCCGUUCAUUAUGGGUUACAGUGUUGAGAAACGGCUCCAGCCCACAACGGAGUUUCUGAAAUUCAUAGGCUUAAAUGAGUUUGAUCUUCAAAGGGUGGUUCUCAAUUUUCCAGAGGUACUAUGCAGAGAUGUGAAUAAAGUUUUGAGACCCAAUUUAGUUUUCUUAAAGAGUUGUGGGUUUUACCAUGAACAAAUUGCAGUGAUGGUGGCCACAUAUCCUCCUGUUUUAAUCAAGAGCAUCAAAAAUUCUCUGGAGCCCAGAAUCAGAUUCUUGGUAGAAGAGAUGGGGAGGGGAAUUAGUGAGGCAGCAGAUUAUCCUGAAUUCUUUCGGCAUGGUCUGAAGAAGAGUCUGGAGGUCCAACAGAAGUUGGUGAAGCAGAAGAACAUGGAUUGUAGCUUAAGUGAGAUGCUUAACUGCAAUCGGAAGAAGUUCAUUAAAAAGUUCAGCUUGAUUGCAGGCUGCUUGUGAUUUUUUUCCCCCUUUUUUUUCUUUUGUUCUUUCGCAUUUUUAAUGUAACGGUUGGAGCAUAUUUGUCUUGCAUUUGAACAUGCAUGAAUGAAGUGAUGCCAUAGCAGCAAGCCUUGGUUCUUUGGA